rnacentral:rRNA from 1 species
GUGUCAGCAGCCGCGGUAAUACGAAGGGGGCAAGCGUUGUUCGGAUUUACUGGGCGUAAAGCGUACGUAGGCGGAUCAUUAAGUCAGGGGUGAAAUCCCGAGGCUCAACCUCGGAACUGCCUUUGAUACUGGUGAUCUUGAGUCCGGGAGAGGUGAGUGGAACUCCUAGUGUAGAGGUGAAAUUCGUAGAUAUUAGGAAGAACACCAGUGGCGAAGGCGGCUCACUGGCCCGGAACUGACGCUGAGGUACGAAAGCGUGGGGAGCAAACAGGAUUAGAUACCCGCGUAGUCC